rnacentral:rRNA from 1 species
AUGUCCCCGCCGCCCCCGCCGCCGCUGCCACCUCCUCCCCGUACCCUCCCUCUACCGAUCCAGUCCUCUCCAGCCCACCGCCGACCUCGCCGUCCUCCUCAGCCACCACCGCUGACCUCGUCCCUCCCUCCCCUCUCCGCAUCUCCCGACCACCUCUACGCCCGAGGAGAUCGAGCGAGCGCCCGAGUGCGCCCGUCCUCGCAGCCUCCUCCCACGAUUCCCCGCACCCGAGCCCCACGAGAGGAGCUCCUCCUGUGUUUUUGCACGCCGCCGCCGGCGACCACCAGCCACAUCUUGCCGGAGCCAGUAGAUGAUGCACUUCGCCGCCAUGGACGCUCACGUCCCCGACCUUGCAGCGUGCCGCCGCGAUGCGAAGUCCCUUCUUGCCGUUCCUGCACCGCUGAGCCGAAGCCUCGCCCAAGUCCAAGCGCCGCCGACGUUUGCCUCCUCGCCAUGGCCUCUCCUGCUUCGUCUGCUUCGCGUACAGAGCUUCGUCUCCAUCAACGUGUCCUCCCGCCGUCUAUGUUUGCUGUCGGGCUCAAUCGACUCCAGCAGCACCCCCACGGUGUCACUCCGCUCGGCACCCUAGCGUCUCUCCAGCUUGCAGUAGCAGCUCUCUUCUCCAGUUCCCCCACCAGCCAGGCCGUUCGUCUCCAGCUCUCUGCUUUGGCUCUGUAUUGCGUUGUUCAUUCAAUCAGGGAUCUAUUCCAAGAUUCUGAACAUGCAAGCAAAUAUGCAGGAGUAAACAAGUUCUUGCAGUAG